GACUUCAACUGAAAAAGUUAUCAAUAACAAAGUUGAAUAACUCAUCAAGAUCUAAAACUUUUAUUUUGAUCAUUUUUUCAUCCGAUAAAGUGAUAGUAACAUUGUUCACAAAAAAUACGUAUCUCUUAUCUGGUUUUAUAAACUAUAACACAUAUAUGUAAAAUUUGUGAACAAUGUUACUAAAAUUUUAUCAGAUGAAGAAAUAACAAAAAUAAAAGUUUUAGAUCUUGAUGAGUUAUACAAUCUUUUUGUUGAUGACUUUUUCAAUUGAAAUC
rnacentral:pre_miRNA from 1 species